CGUAUAUGGAGAGGAAGAAAGAGGAGAAAUCCUCUCAAGAACAAGAAUGCAAAUUCAGCCAAAUCAAACCCAAGAUCAAAGGAAAAACAUUGCAUGGAUGAAGAUCUCUCAUCAUCUAGCUCUAAUAAGCAAGUGAGGAAUCAUAUCAAGAUGGACUCAAGCAUGAAAGGCUAACGGGUCAAGAGGAGGCAAGGAAGUGGAUACGGACACGGAUGCACAAGGUUGUACGAAUCACGG